rnacentral:rRNA from 1 species
AGUGGAUGGGGAACAACCUAGUUGUGCGUGUGUAAAGGUAGUGCCAAGAAAAGCGGUGAUCAUGAUGAAAAUCAAUUCCCGGUACCCGAAACCGACACAGGUGGGCAAGUAGAGAAUACUAAGGGGCGCGAGGUAACUCUCUCCAAGGAACUCGGCAAAAUGACCCCGUAACUUAGGGAGAAGGGGUGCCACCGAGAGGUGGUCGCAGUGAAGAGGCCCAGGCGACUGUUUAGCAAAAACAUAGGUCUCUGCAAACUCGAAAGAGGAGGUAUGGGGGCUGACGCCUGCCCAGUGCCGGAAGGUUAAAGAAGUUGGUCAGUCUUAGGAUGAAGCUAGCGACUGAAGCCCCGGUGAACGGCGGCCGUAACUAUAACGGUCCUAAGGUAGCGAAAUUCCUUGUCGGGUAAGUUCCGACCCGCACGAAAGGCGUAACGAUCUGGGCGCUGUCUCGGAGAGGGGCUCGGCGAAAUAGGAUUGUCUGUGAAGAUACGGACUACCUGCAUUUGGACAGAAAGACCCUAUGAAGCUUUACUAUAGCUUGGAAUUGUGUUCGGGCUUCCUGUGCGCAGGAUAGGUGGGAGACGUAGAAGGUAUUCUUGUGGGGAUACUGGAGCCAACGGUGAGAUACCACUCUCAGGAGGCUAGAAUUCUAACUUAAUUAAGGACAGUUUCAGGUGGGUAGUUUGACUGGGGCGGUCGCCUCCAAAAAGGUAACGGAGGCGUACAAAGGUUCCCUCAGACUGGUUGGAAAUCAGUCGCAGAGUGCAAAGGCAGAAGGGAGCUUGACUGCGAGAAGUACAGUUCGAGCAGGGUGGAAACACGGUCUUAGUGAUCCGACGGUGCUGUGUGGAAGGGCCGUCGCUCAACGGAUAAAAGUUACUCUAGGAUAACAGGCUGAUCUCCCCCAAGAGUUCACAUCGACGGGGAGGUUUGGCACCUCGAUGUCGGCUCAUCGCAACCUGGGGCGGAAGUACGUCCCAAGGGUUGGGCUGUUCGCCCAUUAAAGCGGUACGUGAGCUGGGUUCAGAACGUCGUGAGACAGUUCGGUCCAUAUCCGAUGUAGGCGUGAGAAUAUUGAGAGGAGCCUUCCUUAGUACGAGAGGACCGGGAAGGACGCACCGCUGGUGUACCUGUUAUGAUGCCAAUUGUAAACGCAGGGUAGCCAAGUGCGGAGAGGACAACCGCUGAAAGCAUCUAAGUGGGAAGCCCACCUCAAGAUGAGUAUUCUGGUGUAAGGUCACGGGAAGACGACCCGUAAAUAGGCACGAGGUGGAAGUGCAGAGAUGUAUGAAGCCGAAGUGUACUAAUAGACCGUCGGCUUGACC